ACUUGAAAUGUUCUAUUACAGAUAGUGACCCACCUUUUUUAAAUAAGAAACAAAAUGCUUCUAAACCCUUUUGUUCAGAUUUUUUACUGAAGUAAAACAAUAAAGUGAAGUGCCUUCAACUUAGUCAUUGUCAUCAUUGACGUCCAUCCACUUUAUAAGAAAUCACACAAAGCAGUAACCACCUCUCCCUUCACACAACAUUCAUUCAAGUUUUAGAUGGUAAAAUAAAGAAUGUAGUUAAGACUUUAAAUAGUACGAGAUGUCGUGUUAUUAUAUCACAGCUUUACUUUUCAGCUUUCAGACUCAGGUUUUUCAUCCGUACAUUGACAUUCAGCCGACUGCUAGAAAUGUCAGAGCUUAUUUAAGCACUGUAGUCCAGUGACACUUAACUAUAAACAAAACUGGUUUGGUUUGUAAAGGAUCACGGAAAGCAGCAGGAGUCGAGCCUAAAACACUGUCACAUUAAUAAACAGUAAAUAAUGUUAAAUGAGUGUUGAGGCUCCGUACCCUUAGUGUCAGUUUAGCUGUACUGAGGUUUAAAGUACUCUUGUGUGACUCUACAUUAGCCGUUUAGUUUCUCAAUAUCAUAUUUCAUAGCAUCAAUAUCAAGUAUUUUGCAUUGAAAACUGAUAAGCGUCUUUGUACAAAGCUGUGGCUGGAAGGUCUCUCGUUCACAAAGCUUGUUGAGGUUCAGUCUUAGAUCACGUUCAUGAGGACCGGCCUUCAGCUUCCACUCAUGUCAGUGAACAUUUUUCAAGUCAAAACAGACCUGUAGAUCUGCCGAUGUGCAGAAAUGGCAGAAGUUGCUGAAUAGUGUUCAGCUCACAGUCAUGUCGAGUUCUUUAUAAAAUAAUGACUUUUAUCUAUUACAAAACCUAGAAGAGAAACUGUCUCCUUAAGUAGAUCUUCAGUGACACUCAGGGGGGAACUCUAAAUAACAGGAGGAGCUGUGACGUAAGGCGACAGGAAGGGAUUGUAGGUUUGCAUAUUCCAUUAAGAUCGUUUUAAUAGACUAUUUAUCCCAAAAGACAGAAAUAAAAACAAUAUAUGCUCUUAUGUUUGA